rnacentral:lncRNA from 1 species
GCUGGCAUGGCCUGAAGAAAAAGCUGAUAUAUCCAUUAGAAUUUAUGCAGCACUUAAGAUACCUCAAUAAAGUCAUCUGCAACCCUCUCCAAUCACUAUCAUUCUAAAGGACCACCUAAGUUGAUCUUGCUUACCCUUGAAAUAAGAUUGUGGUGGUAUCACCCUACAAACUCACUUGGGUAAUACAUUUCAGGCUUACAUUCAAUUUAGUUACCGUAUUAAUGGUUUCUGUAGUUUUUUUUUGCUCAACCGUAUGUUAUGUCCCAUUUUAUUUCAUGAAGAAAGAAAAUGCUGUAGGGUUU